rnacentral:piRNA from 1 species
AAACUUUGAGCAUCUGAACUCCGC